UUUGAUAUGCAGCAUGUGCUGUUGGAUCCGUAUGCCAAAAUGGUUCGAAAUCUUCUUUCUGUUCAGGGUGAUACAAUGACUCCAACCAAGUGUCUUGGUUCUCUGGAAAUGGAACCUAUAUUUGACUGGAGUGGUGAUGUUCAUCCGCAGUUGCCAACAGAGAAGCUGGUGGUUUACAGAUUAAAUGUUGGGCAGUUUACAAUAGAUAACUCGAGCGGGCUCCCAGAAGAUGUUGCUGGGACUUUCGGUGGUGUGAGUGAGAAAGUAGAGCAUUUUAAAGAACUUGGUGUCAAUGCAAUCCUGCUAGAGCCAAUAUUUCCCUUUGAUGUUAACAAAGGCCCUUACUUCCCCUAUCAUUUCUUCUCGGUAAUGGAUGAAUAUGGACAAGAACAUAAUGCUGCUUCAGCAAUCAAUUCUAUGAAGGAGAUGAUCAAGACGCUACAUUCCGAAGGUAUAGAGGUCUUAAUGGAGGUUGUUUUUACUCAUAGUGCUGAAGGUGGAGAUGCGGACUCCCAUGUGAUAUCAUUCCGAGGUAUUGAUAGUUCUUCCUAUUACAUUGUUGACAAGAAUGUUGGAUCAGGAACCAAUAGUCUACUGAAAUGCAAUAACCCCAUUGUCCAGCAAUUAAUAAUAGACAGCCUCCGGCAUUGGGUGGUCGAGUUCCAUGUAGAUGGCUUUUGCUUUAUUAAUUCUUCUUCAAUGGCUAGAGGACAGAAUGGGGAUCAUUUAUCUCGCCCACCUUUGGUGGAAGCUAUAGCAUUUGAUCCAGUACUUUCUAGGACAAAGAUUGUCGCAGACUGCUGGUCCCCGCUUGACAUGUCAUACAUGGAAAUCCAAUUUCCUCAUUGGAAAGCAUGGGCAGAGAUGAACAUGAGAUUUUGCAGUGAUGUAAGGAACUUUUUGAGAGGUGAAGGACUCCUAAGCAAUCUUGCUACUAGACUUUGUGGCAGUGGUGAUCUAUUUUCUUCCAGGGGCCCAGCAUUUUCUUUUAAUUUUGUGACAAAGAACGUUGGACUUCCUCUAGUUGAUUUGGUCAGCUUCAGUACUGCUGAGCUUGCUUCGGAAUUAAGCUGGAACUGUGGCGACGAAGGUCCAACAAACAAUAAUACUGUCCUUGAGACACGUCUUAAGCAGAUACGGAAUUUCUUGUUUGUCUUGUUUGUGUCACUCGGUGUUCCUGUUCUAAAUAUGGGGGAUGAGUGCGGCUACUCCACUGGUGGUUCUCCAUUGUAUGAUGACAGGAAGCCUAUCAAUUGGGAUAGCCUAGGAACAGGCUUCAGUAAGCAAAUUACAAAAUUUAUUGCAUAUCUAGGUUCACUUAGAAUCCGAAGAGGUGAUAUUUUUCAGAGCAAGCACUUUCUUAAAGUAGAAAACAUUGUUUGGUUUGGAAGUAAUCAAUCUGAGCCAAAGUGGGAUGACCCAACAUGCAAGUUUUUGGCUUUGGCUCUGAAGUCAGAAAAGAACUUUGACAUGUCAAAUUCAAACUGCGGUGACUUGUUUAUAUGCUUUAACGCCAGCAAUAAUUUAGAGACUGUUGUUUUGCCCGAACAGCCAGAGGGAAAUGUUUGGCUUCGUUUGGUCGAUACCUCCCUUGCAUUUCCAGGAAUCUUUUCAAAUAGUUGUGAUCCAAAUGUUCAGAAGGCUGAAGGAUCAUCUUCUUAUGAACUGAAGCCUCAUAGUUGUGCCUUAUUUGAAGCCACUGUGGAUUGAACUUUGUGCCUUAUUGUCUUAUAUAACAGCAGGAGUUUCUUGCUGUAUCUAUUGUCUCCUGUUAUCAAUAAAAUGAAGUAUCCUUUCUGUUAGCACUGAAUAAGUGCAAAUGUUUCUAAACCAUUUUAUUUCGCAUGCUUGUUUUUGUACAGUCUCUUAAUGUAUGAUUUUUGCAAUACAUCUUAUGAUAUGUCCAUAUUUUUAUGUGUUACCACACAACCAACUAUUUUGUUAAGGCUCUUCUUUAUCAGUAGCAUAUUCCAAACUUCAGCUUUUAAUUCAAAGCGGCAUGGUUUUAUUCUGAAAUCUGAUUUUUGUUCACUUCCAAUGUUUGAUUCUUUUUCCCUUCUUGUUUGAACUUUCUUAAUUGUAUAUUUUGCAAGACAUGAUUCUUCCUUUCUCCAUCAUUGUGUUAUAUCAUCAUCCUCUUGCUGUAUAUUGAAUCAUCAUCUGGAUAGUUAAAUUUCGUUUGUCAAAAACCAUUAUAUGGCACUAGUUUUACUGUUAGAUUUGGUUUCCUAUUUGACAUGCUCAACCAAAGAUUAGGAGGAGCAACAGUGCAAUCAUAAUAACGAAAACAAGUAUUUAAACACCAAUGGAAACUGUUGUUUUACUAAUAGUCAUGAACCAUGGAGAAAGCUUUAUUCUACAUUGUAUUGGUAGUUCAAGCAUAACUCAGAUUAUGAGUUAGUUUCCACUUUAGAAGUAGAAGAAGUUAAAAGAAAUUUUAUUCAAGAAGAUAAUUAGGUCAUUAUGAUGGAAAACUUGGACCAUAUUAUGCCGAGACAACAUCAUAUAUGAGAUUCAGGAAACCUGGCCCAUACUUGGGAGUCCCUUGACUAAUCUGAGAAUACUAUGAAUUGACUAGAGAGCAAGUGUAACAGAGAAGACAUCCAGAUUAAAUACAGAAGAAUACCCCAUACGCAUAAUAUCUAUUCUAGAGAAGGCAGCUAAAUGGAUCUUCCACAAAACUAUAGUGUUGCCAAAUUUUUCUCAGGAUGUUGACUAAAUCUUGUCUAGUUGAUCAAUUAAAAGUGCCAAGCCAUAUAGUCCACAGAGUAAUCAGUUAAACCCACCAAGGCCAAUAAUAGUUACAGUCCAAAAUGAUUGUCUAAGGAUUUCAAGUGUCAAUAAAUCUGAACUACAAAGUUUGGCUCUAAUGGACUGUCAAUGCUCAUAAUGACAUAUUCAGCAGUUUAAAACUAAGCCUUGGUUUGGGACCCAUAAUCUACUGUUUAGAAACAAUUGGACAAGAUCAAAUAUAGCUCAAAAGUUUACUAACAGUGUCAACUAUUUGGAAUUCGAUGAAAAAUUAAAAAGUAAUUUUGUUGAAGCUAGAAGAAUAAAAGGCAACCCAGCAUUGUUGCAAACAAAAAUCUGAUGAUGUACUAAAUGUUACAAUUGUUACCAAGAAGCAACAAACUAAAAUAUCUCAUAACAUAACACAGUAUUUAUUGAAAAUGGGAUUGGUGCCGUCAUAAUGCCCUUCGUUUGCAAUUAUUCUGGAAGGUAUACGUUGGAUCUGGAUUUUGAUUCAGCAAAGGCUCCCUUUUAUCUAUCAUUUAUGCUGCAUUUGUGUUCUGAUGCUGGUGUUGUUGCCUCGGAGAUUAAAACGCACAGAAAGACAAGAUUUUGUGUGCCUGUGGGUUUUGGCCCAGGAUAUCCUGCGUCCUUGGGUGCUUCUGUUUCCGAUGAUGGAAUGGUCAAUUUCUCUUUGUUUUUGAGGAAUGCUGAGAGCGUUUUCCUCUGCCUCUAUGAAGGGAAAACAGAGGUUCCAUCUUUAGAGAUCGAACUGGAUCCUUAUGUCAAUCGUACAGGUGAUAUCUGGCACGUCUCGAUGGAGAGCAUCGUGGACUAUGUGAGCUACGGUUAUCGUUGCAAAGGACCAGUAGAUAAAGAGGUGGAUUCAAUAUGCAGCAUGUGCUGUUGGAUCCGUAUGCCAAAAUGGUUCGAAAUCUUCUUUCUGUUCAGAGUGAUACAAUGACUCCAACCAAGUAUCUUGGUUCUUUGGAAAUAGAACCUAUAUUUGACUGGAGUGGUGAUGUUCAUCCGCGGUUGCCAACAGAGAAGCUCGUGGUUUACAGAUUAAAUGUGGGGCAGUUCACAAGAGAUAACUCGA
rnacentral:lncRNA from 1 species